rnacentral:lncRNA from 1 species
ACUUUUUUUUUUUUCAAAAAAAGAAUACAAAAAUAUAUUAAAUAAAUUUAAAUAUUUAUUUUUUGUAAUUAUUUUUAUAAAUUUUAAAUUUUUUAAUCAAAAUAUCAGUUUAUAUAAAUAUAAUUUAUUGUUUAUAUUUUUUUAAAUUAUAUGUACAUUUUUAAAAAAAUAAAAAAAGGAGCCGGCCCGGAGCACGACCCGGCCAGGCACGG